GAGCCUGUUAGGCAAAUAUGGGUACUGCUAAUUCCUCAUUACUGUGGUUCGACUCUACAGCAAGCUCA
rnacentral:tRNA from 1 species